rfam:Candidatus Saccharibacteria bacterium 49-20 SCNpilot_bf_inoc_scaffold_22, whole genome shotgun sequence.
ACUAUGACCUGCGGGUCCUCUACGCGUCGACGUUCGGACGAGCCGAACCACUAACGC